UUACGGCCAUAUCACGUUGAAACAUCAGUUCCCGUGCGUUCACCGCAGUUAAGCAACGUCAGGCCUGGUCAUUAUCUAGAUGGGUCACCGCUUGGAAAUAUCA